rnacentral:lncRNA from 1 species
UAUAGUCCAGCCCUCCAACAGUCUGAGGGACAGUGAACUGGCCCCCUAUUUAAAAAGUUUGAGGACCCCUGGAUAUCUGGUCAAAGUACUGGCAAGCUAAUAACCUAUUUUCCUGUGAUAAUGCUGGGUUUCCUGAGGGAACCUUCUCUCCCAAUGAACAAACAUGAUUAAGUGACUUGCCCAGGGUCACAACUAGUAAGAGCCUGACGUCACAUUGGAAUUUAAUUCUGCCUUCCUCCAGGAUCCAGUGUUCCACCCACUCUGCUACCUACCAUUUGUCAAAAGCUGUUGAUUUGGCAUCUGAGGCUCCAGGUCCAAAUUCUGACUCUAACACUCAACAUUUACAUGACCUUGGGCAAAUAUGUCAAUUAGCAUCUCUGGAUAUUACCUAUGUUGUCAUCGACCCUCUUUGAAAACAAGGAAUGAAUAACAACAUGGGAAGUGAAUGUCUAACUUAGAAUUCUACCUUUGUCUUUGGAUUUGUUGAGUUCGCAGGAAUUUUGGAACAUCUAGUUCAAGACAUCUAAGAGGCAGCUGGUGAUGCUUGAUCAUAACUCAAGAGAGAGAUGAAUGAUGGAUAUAUGGACUGAGUAUUAUCUGCAUGUAGAUGUUAAUUGCUCUAUGUGUGCAAAGUCUCUCUGUGUCCUGGAUAGAGCCUUAGAUCAGAGUUUCUUAAACUUUUCCCAUUUACAAAUUUUUCAAGUGAAAAGGGGGUGUAUGUGACCCUGGAUAUAAAAGUAUACAAAAUAUGCCUAUAAAAUAUAAAUCAAAAAUCAAAAAUAAAUUUAAAAAUAUAAAACAUUAAAUAAAAUACAAAUCAAACAUUUACUGAUGAUAAAUCAUAAUUUCAAAACCCUCACAUUCAGUUAAAAAGAUCCCAUAUGUGGUCCUGCCUCAUAAUUUAAGAAGCUAGGCCUUAGAGGACACUCCCAUGUUGAAUGGACAUGACAUGAAUAAAGAACCCGAAAAGUGAACUGGUAUAAAGGAAAUAUCCACAAUAUCAGUGAAUUAGUGGGCAAUGAAUUGAGAAUUGACAUUUCUAAAGUGCUUUAAAAUUUCACAAAACAUUUUAUUUAUCUUUCAUCAUUUAAUCUUCAUAAUAUUGCUAUGUAGUAUGUGGUACAAAUAUAAUUAUGCCUAUUUUACAAAGGAGGAAAGUGAGACGCAGAAAGAUUUAGUGACUUGAAUAAGUUACAAAUUCAGCAAGUGGGAGCACUAACUAUAUCUGCCUCUAUAUCUUAAAGCUGUUUCCAUUGAAUCACACGGCCCCUUGAAAAGCAUCAAUCAAAAAUAAAGAGGCUUUAUUGUUGUGUAUUUAUUUUGCUUCCUGAGCUAAAUUGUAAACUCUUUGAGGCCCCUGUAUUCCAGUCUAAUAUCUAUCUCAGUGUUAAACACAUUUUGAAGAUUCAAUAAAAAUAUAUUUAAUAAAGAUUGUUUAA